GACGAACGCUGGCGGCGUGCUUAACACAUGCAAGUCGAACGGAAAGGCCCCGUUGGGGGUACUCGAGUGGCGAACGGGUGAGUAAGACGCAAGUAAGCUACCCGUCACUGCGUGUGGACUAAAGUAAAGUGGGGGGAAUACCUGCUAGGAAGCCUUUCUGCAUGGUGGGGGGGGGAAAGCUUCGGGGGUUUUGGAUGGAUGGACGGCUUGUCAGCUUGUUGGUGGGGUAGUGGGUUACCAAGGCAUGGACGGGUAGCCGGCCUGGGAGGGCGACCGGCCACAUUGGGACUGAGAUACGGCCCAGAAUCCUAAGGGGGGCAGCAGGGGGGAAGAUUGCACAAUGGGCGGAAGGCUGAUGCAGGAAAGCCGCGGGCGGGAUGACGGGCUUCGGGUUGGAAACCGCUUUCAGCAGGGGCGAAGCUUGUGGUGACGGUACCUGCAGAAGAAGCACCGGCUAACUACGUG
rnacentral:rRNA from 1 species